UGUCUGCUGGACUGGAGGAUCCACACUGGAGACUGGACACUCUCAGGGUGGAGCCCGGUGGAGUCCGAUGGCUGAGACCAGGUCUGAGGAAGUAUUCCUGUGAACUCACACUCGACACAAACACAGUGAACA